rnacentral:misc_RNA from 1 species
AACCUUAUGGACCUGCGGGCGUAUACCUGCGGAGGGAUCAUUAUAGAGUGGUAAACCCCCCAUAAAAAGGGGGGGACCUCCGGUCCUUUGUAGGCUCUUUUUUAAAGGGCUUUUUUGAUUUUCUGCUUCGGUGGGGUUAUCCUACCGGAACAACCUCAAAACUCUAAUUAAAAAAAUUGUUCUGUCCGAGGGCUCUUUUAUAAUAAAAAAAAACUUUCAACAACGGAUCUCAGAUCGGAA